rnacentral:rRNA from 1 species
GGAGAAGGAACGAGUAGUGUGCAGAGGCAAACCACGACGACUCUUAGGACGACUCUCCCCCUUUCUUUCUCUGCAGCCGCUACCGCGGCGAUUCCGCCCGCCGCUCGCGCCGCCGCCACGACGACCGGGAGUGCCCUGAAAAAGAAGAGCACGAGAGAGGGCGCCUGCGUCGUUGCCGCCGCCACCUUCCUCCUCUCGAGUCCUACUUCGUUAGACUACCACCAAUGAGAAUGUUAUCAUGAGAACGAGUAUAAGAACAGCUUAUACGUAGACGACAAAUAUGUAGGCUGGAUUGGAGUGAAAACUUUACCUGAACAGGUUCCACACUUCCAGUGUGCUUCCCAAAAGUCUACUAUCUCUAGUAACAUCUACAUCUCUUUACAAAUGUCCGAAAACAACCUCAACGGGGACUAGGUGCUAGGUAUUAUUAACGAAAAUCUCCGUGGGUUCUUGUGUCGCGGAGUUUAACCUAACUUCUAGAGAAGACCUUCGUCGAUCUACAUUGAAUAGGUCCGUACGGCCUACGUUACCAGGUGGUACCUAAAAUAAGACGUAUAAUAUUAUGUUGAGACGCCGUACUCUAGAACUUUAGACAAGUCACCCGUACCUUCUGUAUACCUUCUGAUGGGUAUUUACAACAUCCAGUGAGAUACCCUCCCCGAAAUCGAAGUAAAACACGGGAACUAGAGAGACAAUUUACCCCCAGUGUGUUUCAAGUCGAGUAUUGAAAACCUGUCGGAGCCCAUCCGUUAGGACGAAAACGACUUAUGAAGUUACUCGUCCAAGGUUCUUGUUAGGCGCACUGGGUACUUUUACUAUAACAAGGUGUAAACGGUGGUAUGAAAAUAAUGGAUCCGCUUACCUGUAUAGUGGUGAAACGUUCUCUCCAAACCGAAGCCCUCUGGUAUCAUCCUUUACACCAAUGAUCCUUACUCUGUCAGACACUAACAAGUCCUCUCCUGGGUUGGACGUCGUCUAGCCAGAUGCCCUCUUCACACCGUCUAGUAGAACUCAUAAUACCACAAUUGGAUGUACGACUAAGUUCCCCUUGUACAGUUAAACACUAACCGCGUAGGUUGAGUCGGAUACCACUGUAAGAAGUUAAACUACCUUGAUAGUAGAAUAGUUCUAUAGGUGUCUUCGCUAUAGGACACCUCAGAUAGAUUGGGAAAUCGACUCCCAUUUGACAUGUCAUAUAAUAAAACACAAAACACAUUUAUAAAGUACAUUACAUCUGUGUGACCCACGACAUCCUACAGAGGACUCCUAUUCCUUCCAAAGCGGAAAUCUUACACGGGGGGAAAUGAGAUCACUCUUAACAUAUACUUCGAGACAGCUGUAACAUCCGUGCGGUAUUAACUACAUGGACUACUAUAGUGUCCGAGUUUAUUAUUUUUGUAAACUAUCAUAGCACCAAAAAAGUGAUAGAUCGAAUAACACUAAGAAGCGAAGAUGACUUUCUAUAAGAAUAUAAAAGAGAGUCGUAAAGCAGAGCGGAGACAUCCACGGAACCGCAGUCUAUACGUAAACACUAGUUUUCUCACGACGGGAAACUUCCAGACUCCUCGGUCCUUGACUAGCUUUAGUACGACCUUGGACCUAAGGGUUCUACGUUUCAACAUGUAAUCAGCCGUCACGGGCCACCCUUUUGACUCCUAUUUCCUAUGUAUAGAUAAGUUUAUAAGAGGUAACGGUAGACGAACGGGACAUCCCAACGUGGUGUAGCCUCUUAGUUCUUCUUAUCUAUGAUGAAACGUCGUAUACUUGACGAUGACAACAUGUCGGAGUAAACGUGUCGUACACGACCUAGUACCGCACCGCUUACGAACACGUAAACUAUUCCUGUAUUUUGUCCCGCUUGUAACUUUAGAACUCUCUACUGUCUCUUAACGCUUACCGUGACUAAGGUGACAGCGUCUAUCCCAGUCUUCUCUCACACUACCUGACUUACUCUGACCUUCGGGAGAGACGGACUUCUACGAUAAGACUUGCGGUUCCCUUCGACUAGGAAGAAGGACAUGUUUAGUGGAGAGAGAGGAAUCGGCCACCUUAAUCUAGGGACACGGCAUGACGACGGUAGGCACAGCUGCAAUCGCGGUAAAACACGAACAAGACUCGGAGACAUGAUAUGCAUGUCAUUUUACUCACUUCAAUCUUCGGUACAUCUCUCUUACAAAGUAGUCCCUACUUUGAGGGUUUGUUUUACUUCUCAUAGUCUCCUUUACCGUACAUAUAACGUGGUCUCUAAACGUCACUUCCAAUGUGAUUAGAGUGUGGGAGAUCACACGUUCUGUUCAUGCAACUUACGCUAG